UCGCGUGUCUGCGGGCAUGUGCCUGCCGCCUUCGAAGUAGUUUGUGUGCCGGGCUGCGCGCACGCACGUGCGGGAGCGCCCGGGGCAUCCACAGGGCUGCACAGGGAAGGCAAAGAAAGGGCAAAACUGUAGGAGCGUGGGGUUUCCUUGCUGGGCACGAGACUGAGCUGCAAACAGAUUGCAUGGUGCAGGUCUUUGCAGGGAGUGUGGUGCAAAAGGCAAGUGUUUUCCAGCCCUGCCUCUUAGUUCCGUGAAGAAACUAGCUUUGAUCUACGUUUCUGAUUGAUAGUAAAAGCUCAGUUUGAGCCCUGUAUUCAGACAACUCUGCAAAUUACUCAUCCAAUCACUUCUACUGACAUCAAUUGGAAAACUGGGCACUAAAUUCUGUCAAUCAAUGAGAGUGAUCAAGCAAAAAGCAGUGGACACCAUCCCAUGUAUCUUCAUUUUUUGAGAUCAGUAUGGAAAGACUGUGGGUAAAAAGCUUGAGUGGCAGACAGCCUUUAUAGGAAAUCACUA